rnacentral:misc_RNA from 1 species
UUAAGUUCAGCGGGUAUCCCCAUCUGAUCCGAGGUCAACAUUGAAAGGUGCACGAAGGCGGUUGUCCGGCGGACGACGCCCUGCUUUGAACGCUGGAAUGUUAUUCUCGCUGCGCUUAAAGACGGACGGCGACGCCGAGGAGUUUGAGGCGCGCCCGCAGAGGGCGGCGCCCAAUACCAAGCUGAGCUUGAGUGUUGUAA